UGUCUGUUCGACGAGUCUAACCCGAUCAUCGGGGAAGGCGGAGGGAAACCGAUAUGACCGCAGUGCUUUGCACCAGGGUCACCGUGUUCAAGCGCGGGGAGUCGAGCGGACA
rnacentral:ncRNA from 1 species